AGUUGUUCACAGCAUUAAUCAUGCCUUAACCAUGUCAUCAGUCCUUUGACAGCAAGGAAAAAGUGCAUUUCUUUUGUAUAUUGUGUCUUGAGUAUAGAUUUCCCCCACCCCCACCACAUUCAAUUUUUUAAAAAUGCACAAACAAAUCCGAUCUUCUGUGGAUCUUCAUCUAUUUUUUUAAAAUGGGCAUCAUUAAUAUAAUCUAGUCCCAUUUAACUGGAUGUUCAGUACUCUACGUGAUGGCAAAAAAUCAAGAUCAUUUUUCCCUGCUUCUAAUAAGGAGAUAUUUUUAUUUUUAAUUUAACAUUAUGUUUAAAAAUAUGUCCAUCAUAAUUCAUGAAGAUCUAGUUAAAUUUAACUUUGGUUUAUUAUUAUUUAUAUAAACUUUAAAACACAAAACAAAUUUAUGUGAUGUUUAUGGAUACAUGGCACGUGUAGUGAAAAUAAACUAUGUAGGCACAACACAUUUGGGAUGGUGGUAUUCCAGGGACAAAAGGAAUAGAAAGGGUUGGGGAUAGAGAUUUCUUUAUAUACCUAUAAUUUUUUCAUUAAAAAGAGAGUGCAAACUGAAAGAAUGGUUAGAUCUCGGUAGUGGAAAACCGGCAUCUGUUAUAUUAUUUUCUGAAUGCUGAAAUAUUUUAUAAUUACAACAUUUUAAAUUGGAAAAGUAGAAAAGUAACUUAAGUGCAACUGUGCCAUCAUUAGGGUGGUUAAGAUAGAGCCAUGCACAGAUAAUGAGGUGAUUUCUGAAAUAAGCCAGGCCCAGAAAGGAAUCAGAUGAUACACAGCCCAGCCAUGCCAGGGUUAUUCUGGGGGCUAGGAAUUCUAUUCAAGGCAUGUAUACAAGAGUUCUACACUUUAUAAUAUAUCGUCUUUGGGGCAAAAAAUAAAGCCCAGGUUUUGGCAAUGCGUCUUUCCUUUUUAGGCUCUUGCUGGAGAUUGAAUGGGAGUCUGAAUCCAACCAUCUCUUCUGCUUCUGGGACUGGACUUUGGGCCUAAUUAACACACAAGCCUAAUCAGAAUCCAGACAAAUUCUAAAUACCUGGAAUUUGCUUGACAAAAACAAAGUUAUCAAGGGGGGAAGUAUUUUCUUUUUGUGGCCAUAGCUGACCUUUCCCAAAGAUGGGAGAGAAAUACAAAAUAGAGAUUUGAGGGAGAGGUCUAUAAGAGUUACAUUCUAGAAAAUCUAUGAAUAUGCAACUUAUAUAUAAUCAAAGCUUCUGGAAUUCCUAUGCUGCAUUGUAUGGAAGCUUUUUCUGGCCCUUCAGUGAAAGAAGAGUACAUACUUUCAUCAUGGCCCAUGUGUGCAUGGUCUGGAAAAGAAAGGUUGUGUACUUGGAAAAGUAAUAGUAAUUAUAUCUGAACCAUAGGCCAGAGUGAGGACAGCAGUACAAGUACAGAGAGAUGGUAUUUCAGGGGGGCCUUGGUUCCUGUGUCCUGUAGACUAUCAUGAAGAGCAUGGUCACCAUCCCUAUUCCCAAGUUCUCCAGAUCCCCAAUCUAUCUUUCUACUGGAUUAAUUUUCAAAUC
rnacentral:lncRNA from 1 species